CGUGGGGCUCGUUCUUCCUCUUAAAAACGCGCACGAGGCCGCCCUUCCCUCUUUUCGGAAUGCGGCUCUUCGGUGGGAGGAAGCUUCCAGGCCGUUGGGGAACAUGGGGCGCCGCGGGCCAGCGAGACUCAAGGCGGCUGCAGAAAGCCUGUGGUGUCAUACACAUAACUGGUGGCAUUGGUGACAUAGGGUCUGAAGAUGGAAUCCAUGUAUCCACACAUCUACGAUGAUGGUGCCUAUGCCUGACACAAUAGGAUGCCCUGGGUUGCCAGGUUUGUAAACAGUUACAGUCUAAACGUACAGAAAUGUCAAACGUAUAUGGAAAACAUGCUGAAAUAUACACAUAUGAACUGAAAGAAAAGGAAAAAUUAGAAUAUCUGGGACUCAAGACAUUGGCCAUUUGCAUUCCCAGUUACAUACUGGUUGAAACCACAGCAGAAUUCAGAAAUGCUGAUCCAGCCCUGUGGGCUGCUCUCUCAGGAACUGGCAGGGGAGGGGGAGAGAUGUUUAUAGUUUGUAUUAAUAGAGCCUUCUUGGUAAUCGAAGCUCACACGCUGCUAACUUACUAGCUUUUAACUACUUCAUUAUUACUUUUAUCCAAUAAUCUCAUUCCGUCUUCCUCCUUUUUGUAUAUUUAAAUCUCAUUUUCACUUUAUAUUUGUUAUAAAUUUGUUAAUUUAUAAUUUAAGAUCUUAAGCAAACAUGGUACG